rnacentral:rRNA from 1 species
GAUGAACGCUGGCGGCGUGCCUAAUACAUGCAAGUCGAGCGAACAGACGAGGAGCUUGCUCCUCUGACGUUAGCGGCGGACGGGUGAGUAACACGUGGAUAACCUACCUAUAAGACUGGGAUAACUUCGGGAAACCGGAGCUAAUACCGGAUAAUCUAUUGAACCGCAUUGUUCAAUAGUGAAAGACGGUUUUGCUGUCACUUAUAGAUGGAUCCGCGCCGCAUUAGCUAGUUGGUAAGGUAACGGCUUACCAAGGCAACGAUGCGUAGCCGACCUGAGAGGGUGAUCGGCCACACUGGAACUGAGACACGGUCCAGACUCCUACGGGAGGCAGCAGUAGGGAAUCUUCCGCAAUGGGCGAAAGCCUGACGGAGCAACGCCGCGUGAGUGAUGAAGGUCUUCGGAUCGUAAAACUCUGUUAUUAGGGAAGAACAAAUGUGUAAGUAACUAUGCACGUCUUGACGGUACCUAAUCAGAAAGCCACGGCUAACUACGUG